UUUUAAAAUCAUCUAAUCUAAUCUAAUCUAUAUUAUUAUUUUUAUUAAUAUUUACUUAUGAUAUUACUUCAGUAUACAAUGUACACCUAUGUAUUACCUAAUAUUAUAGUCACAUAGUUAGAAACACGUGUUGUGUGUUCUAGUAGUGGCCAAACGAAGUGUAUCAAUUCAUUACGAACCGCGUAUUUAUUUUAAUUUUAUAUCAAGCGUUAUUAUGCCUCGUCAGUGUAAAAAUCAUCCAGAUUUUUUUUGUUAUGUUUGUGGAUCGUUUGCAAUUAAAACAAAUGAUCUUCGGAAUAUUUACAAGUUAUACUUUGGUUGUCCCCUUGGUGACCAAGAUAAAGCAUGGGCACCACAUACUAUAUGUAGUGCUUGUUCUAAUGGACUGCGUGAUCGGUUGAACAAAAAAAAAAACGUCUAUGCCAUUUGCUAUACCAAUGGUGUAGAGGGAACAAAAAAAUCAUUACAACGAUUGCUACUUUUGUAAUGUUAACGUAAGUGGUUUUUCGAAAAAAAUAAACAUAAUAUUAUUUACCCUAACUUAGAUUCCGCAAUUAGACCAGUGCCUCGUUACCUAUUCCAAUACGGAAGAAGGUCUUAAUUUUAAUGUAGAAAUGGAAUGUGAUCAAAAUGCAUUUGAUCAUCAUGAUGAAUGUCCAGAAGAUGCAAACUAUACACCCAAUGAAGAUAAAUCAUCUCAAACUUUUAGUCAAGUUGAAUUAAAUAAUUUGAUUAAAGCUAUAGGCCUAUCUAAAGAAAAAGCAGAACUUUUGGCUUCAAGACUUAAACAAAAAUAUUUGCUAAAUUGAAAGAAGGUAUAUUCAUUGGACCUCAAAUUAGAGAACUUAUAAAAGACAAUGAUUUUGUGCGUUGUCUUAAUACAGCUGAGCAAGAAGCAUGGAUGACUAUUAUAUGGGCUUUUAAAAACUUCUUGGGGAAUCACAAAGCGCUUUCAUAUAAGAAUGGAAUUCAAAAUCUAUUAAAUGCAUAUAAUAAAUUUGUAUGUCAUUGAAAAUUCAUUUUUACAUUCAUACCUCGAUUUUUUUCCAGAAAACUUAGGUGCGGUAAGUGAUGAACAAGGCAAACGAUUUCAUCGGGACAUCCAGUUAAUGGAAACUCGUUACUGGGGUUUUAAAAUGAAAGUAUGUUAGCGGACUACUGCUGGAUGCUAUAUCGUGACAUACCUGAUAAAAAGUAUAAUAGAAAAUCAUUUUCCCAACAUUUUUAAAUAUUUAAAUAUGUCAACUAUUUGGUUUUUUUAUUUAACUAUUUUAUUAUAAAUAUUUUUUUGAAUUUAUUUAUAGCAUAAUAAUUUCAUGCAAUUUUAAUUAUUGAAAAAAACUAUUAAAAUAAUCAUUUAAUUUAGUAAUUUUAUUUUAAAAUAGAUGCUUUACCUAUAAAAAAUGAAACAAUUAUAAUUAAAAAAAUAAUGGUGAUAGAAAAAACCUAAUUACAGGUUUGAAAUCAGUACAAACAAUUGGUUUGGAAAAUGCAUAUUCAACCCUGAUGAUUAAAAAAAGUUUAAUUUUGUAGACCAGUGUUAUCAGUAUGACUUAUUUAAUAUAUUUAAUUUUACACUUGAUAUUUUUAUUAACCUUCAGGCAGACGCGCUAAACCAC
rnacentral:lncRNA from 1 species